UUAAGCAAUCAUUCAGAAAUUUACUGGUUAUCAGACGACACACCAAGAACAAGAGGUCCUUUUCUUUACCAAAGCGUGAUAAUAAAAUGAACUUCAAAAUGAUAUUCUUGGCCUCGUUUUGUUUCGCUCUACUCCUAAUCUGUACGAAAGCACAUUUUGAAGUGCAUGUACCCCAAGGAAAGCGCCAUCUACAAAAUAGAGACCUGCCUAGUAUCUGGGGAGAUGAUGAACCGUUCCCAUCUUCAAAGAAGUUUCAUUCAAAAGUGCAACGAUCACCUCAGAAACAACAGAAAGAAGAAAAUUCAUUAUUAUGGCAGGAAUAAUCCUAGGAAGGAAUUUGGAAAAUUGCCAUUCAUCGUCAACAAUAAUGUACGAAAUGAAAUAACUGCUGCUUUAGAAUGAAGUGCUAUAAGACCUAUAACUUAGAAAGUUAAGAAGUGGGUUUCCACCCUUGUAAACAUUGUUACGUUUGCAAUAAAGUUACAUGUUCAUCGCA